rnacentral:rRNA from 2 species
AUACCCGCUGAACUUAAGCAUAUCAAUAAGC